GCCUGGCUAGCUCAGUCUGUAGAGCGUGAGACUCUUAAUCUCAGGGUCGUGGGUUCAGGCCCCAUGUUGGGUG